GCCUUCGUGGUGUAACGGUUAGCACACUCGGCGCUUAUUCGAGAAGUCCAGGUUCGAAUCCCGGCAAAGGCA
rnacentral:tRNA from 1 species